UACCCUCAUCGUAAACGUCGGUAUGGAGAUUGGUACUGGAGUGAUCUACGUUUAUAUGAAAGAGCACGUUUCUAUUCUAAUCUCGAUGCUUGUUUUACUUGGUAUCUUGAGUUUUUCUGCUUCAGUUGUUCCAUCAACUAAGAGCUACCUGGAAAUGAAGUAUUGCGUAAGACAUGAAUUAGCAUCAAAAGAGUGUGCAGCAAAUGGAAAAGGAGACAAACCAGUCAUCGAAAGACUCAAAGUGGAUUUGAUGAAAUAUUGGAUGAUGUCUCAAACAACCAGCCCCCAGUUUGUGAUGGGCCGAUCCGCCACAUGUACUGCUUCUGGGGCAAUCAGUCUUCUUAGCGCUGCAAUUUUAGCAGAGGCUAUUCUUACAUCCUACUUGAUGAAGAGAUCAUUGAAGUUCUGCAACGGCCAGUCUGAUUAUAAAUGGUCAAUCACUUUUAUCCUCGUUAUACAGUGCGUAGCAGUUGUAGUGGGGACUGUCGCCCCGGCAAUCAGAUGGUUUACAGCUAUAAAAUUCAGGUGUCCAAACCUGAGAAAUGGAGGUUACAAGAAGGAAUUCAAAUUAGAAUACUACUGGAUUCGAUAUCUAGUAGAGAUGAAAGAGUCUCCAUUAACUAUCAGAGUUAAAAAUAGAAGAUGCAGAAAGCUUGCUCAUAAUGCAAGAAACACAUUUCUGGAUGCAUGUAUCAUCCUACAAACAGUAAUAGUGUUCAUAAGCAAAGUGAUUCGACUUAUUUCCAUUUUCUUUUUCAGAGGAAUCUUCUCAUGCUGUGACCUUUUCAAGAGUUUGAAAAACAGGCUGUGGUUUAACAGCACCAUUCCUCUCAGCAAUUCAGGGUCAGAAGAUGAUGCUGAUUCGAAGCUAGAUCUAAGUCGUUUCGUUCUGUAUCUUGAAGGUGAAGAUGAUCUGGUUCACGUGAUGGUAACAAAUAAUUAUCAUGCCGUACAUCAUUGGAUUCAGAAAGGGAAGAAGAAAAAACCUAAGAUUCUCAUUCACCUAUUGGAAGGAACGAUCAUAUCACGAGGUUUCAGGGGAGUGGCAGAGUUUGAUAACCAUCAAGUUCCAUGUCUAGAUUCCAAAGAGCCCCAAAAUUGCUGGGCGCUUCCUGUGGUGACAUUAACAGCCAUAGCAAUUUCUCUUCCAAAUAUAAGACGUCAUUUAAUCAAACAUUUGGUGACCGCAGUAAAUGAAGGCCUCCGAUACAUAAGACUCAUCGAAGAUUGCUUCGACAUGGAAGGGAAUUUCAUAAACCUAAAAAAAGCAGCAGAAAUGGUUUGGCUAGGAAUUGAUCUCCACAAUCAAUGGCUAGACAUAGACCUCCACAAAAUUUCACAUCAUAAAGAAACCCCAAACGAAGUUUUCCAACAGUUUUCAGAUGAAGCAAAGAAAAUGUACACAGAGGAGAAGACUACUAAUCAACAUCUAUGCUUGAAACUAAGUACUUCAAAAUGGCCAAUCAAGAUAUUGGCUACGAACUGUAUGUACAGAAUAAGCGAAUCGAUGCUGCUGAAGUACGAAAAGAAAUACAGGUAUACAAACGAACAAUUGUUCUUAGAAAUGGAAGCAAUGAUUUCUGGCAUAAUGGGAGCGUGCAUGACAAAUUUGGAGAAAGUGAUAUCAACAAAAUGUGCAAACUUUGUGAUUGAAAAACGAGAGAGGAGCGUGAGAGAAGCCGCUUACAUUCUGGGGAAAACAGGGAGGAUUUUGGAUCUCAUAGAAAAGACGACGGUUCCACCACUUGAUGAACAUCAAAUGAGGAGCAUUGAUGAAUGGCGAUUGGCUUACAAGCUGGAGAUGUAGCAUUCGUGGAAGGUGAAGGGGGCGGCAU
rnacentral:lncRNA from 1 species